AGGAGAAAAAUCAAACAUGGAGAGAGGUUUACACAGGGAACAAGUAGCCUCAGAAACCCAGCUGGCUCUACCCCUCCUCCUCCAAUCUGACUGCUUGCAGGACCCCUGGGAAAGACACAUCUGGCCAGGAACUCACAAGGACGGGGAUAGUACAGAUUGUUUGGAGACUGAACCAGGAAACAUGGGGUCCACAGGUGACACAGGGGACUAAGAAUUGGCUCCCCCAAAAUUCUAGGGGAACCCAGGGGAGAUCCCUAGGAUAAAGUCUUCCAGAAUGGGCCAGCAAGUAUUGGGCACUGAGGGUGCACUGUUUUAAAAUCUUCAGACCAACUGGCAUUCAGAGAAGAGCCUGGAGCCCAUCUAAGCCUGAACACUGCCUCUAGAAUUUCUGCCUUCAGGAUUACCUCUCACACCCCAAAAGAUCCCACCUAAAACUACUGAGAAGAGAAGCUGAGAAUAUUUUGAACUCCAACAGUCAGAAGUGUGGAAAAAUAGCAUCAUGAGAUGGCAGAACCUAGACUCCAGGACUUUCCUCUCAAUUCAGCUUUAGUGGCUGCAGAGAUCACCUCCAAAGUGAUCAGCAUAAUGUAGAAGGCUUCAACAAUCAUCGUCAUCAUUGGAAGCAAUCACUUGAAUUGAUUCAGAGUGAAUGAUACAGUUAAUUGGCUAUUUCUCAUUAGCCAAGAACAUAUGGCACACUAAGGACAAGGGAGGGAAUUUGUAUUCACGGUGGCUGUGAUGGAUUUCUAUACGCAAUUUAUUUUUGCAAAUUAUCUUGGAGCUAAAUAAAAUUACAAUAGAUCGAUUCUGCACAACUAUGAUUAAAGGACUAUUCUGGAGUCAUGCUAACCUUGAGUUUAAUUAUUCCCUACACUGCUUAGCAGCUGUGUGAUAUGAAGCAGGUUGCUGUUUCUCUAAGCCUCAGGUUCCUCAUCUAUAAAACAGGAAAGACAAUGGUACCAUCUCAUUAGGUUCUCAUCAUGAUUUAAUUAGUAUAGCAUGCCUCAAGCUCAGAGAACAAUGCCUGACAUACAGAAAGUACUGCUAGCAAUUCUUCUUUUGAGGAUGGAGAGAAUCCAUGUACACACAGAGUGUUCCACCUAUAGCAACAACGUGCGAUCAUCUUACGUUGGCCAUUGCCUUGCCGUCAUUGUUAGCCAAAGUCACUCAGUAUGGUAUUCCAGGUCCUUGCUUAGUCACAAUGGGGCAGAGAUGGUCACUGCAGGGGACAAACCCUUGCUGCCGGGGUGGCAGCCAUACUGGUAAACACAACUUCAGCUGUUGUCAGCUGUCCUCCCUGAUAAGGCUGGCCUUGAUACUGCCCAGCUCUGAUAAGGGAGGAGGACUAUCUACAAACAAGGCCUUUUAGAAACUCAAGAGGGCUAGUCCCUCUCCAGUUUCCUUCCCCAGUCUUUGCAAAAUAGACACGGGGUGAGGGGCACAAGUACAUGACUCUAAACAGGAGAAAGUUCAGACAAGCUGGCUUGCCAGCUAAAUGGCCCUAAACAGGGGCUACCACAGGGCUUAUCAGGACCCUAAAGGCAUGCCUUGUCACCCUGCCUCUCACUUCCAUGGAAAUGAAUGUUAGGCCCCUCCCAGGCUGUGGAAAGGAUGUCCCUUAUAAUGUCAAAGAGCUUCUGCAUGAGAGCACCUCAAUGUAAGACUGGCAUUUUUAAAAUGAGCUUUAUUUUUAGAGCAGUUUUAGGAUCAUAGCAAAAUUGAUCAGGAGGCACAGAGAGCGCUUGCCUCCCCGCAGCACACACACAGCCCUCCCCACCA